rnacentral:rRNA from 1 species
GAGCUCUAUGUACCUCUGUCAUUGUAUGAGUCGCUUCCUUUUUGUGUAUGGCACCCCAACUCCCUUCGGCAGCAUCUACUAAUUAAGAACUUAACUUGA